GAUGAAGAACGCAGUGAAAUGCGAUACGUAAUGUGAAUUGCAGAAUUCAGUGAAUCAUCGAGUCUUUGAACGCACAUUGCGCCCCCUGGUAUUCCGGGGGGCAUGCCUGUCCGAGCGUCAUUGCUGCCCUCAAGCACGGCUUGUGUGUUGGGCAUCCGUCCUCCUCCCGGGGGACGGGCCCGAAAGGCAGCGGCGGCACCGCGUCCGGUCCUCGAGCGUAUGGGGCUUCGUCACCCGCUCUUGUAGGCCCGGCCGGCGCUUGCCGACACAUCAAUCUUUUUUCCAGGUUGACCUCGGAUCAGGUAGGGAUACCCGCUGAACUUAAGCAUAUCAAUAAGCGGAGGA
rnacentral:misc_RNA from 1 species